rfam:Exiguobacterium sp. AT1b, complete genome.
GUUUGCCACUAGGGGAGUCGCGUCACGCGGCUGAGAUGGACAUGGUCCAGACCCUUUGAACCUGAUCUAGUUCACGCUAGCGUAGGGAAGUGGGCGAGACGACUC